UGUGUCAAGAGCAGAACAGCUGGACAC
rnacentral:piRNA from 1 species